UGAAAGCCUAAGAGAUUAGGCCCUCCUUCGGGACACGAAGACAGGUGUUGCAUGGUUGUCGUCAGCUCGUGUCGUGAGAUGUUGGGUUAAGUCCCGCAACGAGCGCAACCCUCAUAUACAGUUGCCAAUAUUUAGUUAGGAACUCUGUAUAGACUGCCGUGGUUAACACGGAGGAAGGUGGGGAUGACGUCAAAUCAUCACGGCCCUUACGUCCUGGGCUACACACGUGCUACAAUGGCUAUUACAAAGAGUAGCGAUACAGUAAUGCGGAGCGAAUCUCAAAAAGAUAGUCUCAGUUCGGAUUGUGGGCUGCAACUCGCCCACAUGAAGUCGGAGUUGCUAGUAAUCCCGAAUCAGCAUGUCGGGGUAAAUGCGUUCCCGGGUCUUGUACACACCGCCCGUCACGCCAUGGGAGUUGGGAGUGCCCAAAGUCACUGACUUAACCGCAAGGGGAGAGGUGCCUAAGGUAAUACCAAUGACUGGGGUGAAGUCGUAACAAGGUAGCCGUAUCGGAAGGUGCGGCU
rnacentral:rRNA from 1 species